rnacentral:rRNA from 1 species
GUAUGUGAUCGUCUCUCGCAUAUCAAUAAGCGGAGGAAAAGAAACUAACAAGGAUUCCCCUAGUAACGGCGGGUGAAGCGGGAAGAGCUCAAAUUUGAAAUCUUAAAGGGUUUCCCUUUACGAAUUGUAGUUUAAAGAAGUGUUUUCUGUUGAGGUUUUGGUAAAAGUUCUUUGGAAUAGGACAUCAUAGAGGGUGAGAAUCCCGUAUUUGACCUUUACUUUCAACUUUGUGAUACACUUUCAAAGAGUCGGAUUGUUUGGGAAUGCAGUCCAAAUUGGGUGGUAAAUCUCAUCCUAAAGCUAAAUAUUGGCGAGAGACCGAUAGCGAACAAGUACCGUGAGGGAAAGAUGAAAAGAACUUUGAAAAGAGAGUUAAACAGUACGUGAAAUUGUCAAAAGGGAAGCGUUUGGACACCAGUGUUGUUUUUCUGAAAAUCAAUUAAAGAACUGUUUAUGCUAAGUUGUUUAGACUUUAUCAGCUAACUGUUUAGUUUUGAGCUUUUCUUUAAUGCACUUUUCAGUUAACGAGUCAACAUCAAUUUCUUUUGCUGUAAAAAAGCUUGAGGAAGGUGGCUUGAGAUUCGUCUUAAGUGUUUAUAGCCUCUUGCCUAUGCAGUCGGAGAGAUUGAGGUCUGCAGCGUAGAUCCUUCGGGGCUAAAUGCAUUUGUGCUAAGUUAUAGCAUUUUAUAGACAACUUGUUGACUAUGAUUUGUCUUGUAGCUUACUCGCUUAUGUUAUUUUACCUACGCUUAGGAUGUUGAAGAUAUGCGCGACACG